AAAUGCGAUAAGUAGUGUGAAUUGCAGAAUUCAGUGAAUCAUCGAAUCUUUGAACGCACAUUGCGCCCUUUGGUAUUCCUUAGGGCAUGCCUGUUCGAGCGUCAUCUAAACCUUCAAGCCCUGCUUGGUGUUGGGUGCCUGUCCCGCCUCCGCGCGCGGACUCACCUCAAAUCCAUUGGCGGCCCCCGCGUCGGCCACGAGCGCAGCAGAAACGCGAACUCGUGAGCCCGCCCGGGCGGCUCCCAGAAGCUACACCCACCCAGUUUGACCUCGGAUCAGGUAGGGAUACCCGCUGAACUUAAGC
rnacentral:misc_RNA from 1 species